CUGUCAUAAUUAUCUGUCAUAAUCACCUCUAAGAUGGUCUCUAAAGACCCCUGCUCCUGGUCUUCAAGCCCUGUGUGAUCCUUUUCACUUGAGCAGGAGCUGGGUUUACUGACAACAGUAUGCAGUGAAGUAGUGUGACUUUACUCCUGAGAGUACAUCCCCUGGACCUACCCCACGUGACUACUGCAGCACAUAUGGUUUAGAGCCAUUGAGAAUAGUAAUGGAUCUGCCUGGCUUGGGGCUUCUUGCUUCCCAGGCCUCCCAGUCUGUCAGGACACUGGACUUCACUACAUGGCAAGAGGACAAUAAAGGGAAGCUGCCAUGCCUCUUCACACCUAGCCUCAGAGGCUCCACAAUUUCCCUUCUGCCACAUUCUUUUGGUCAAUGCAAGUCACAGGGACAACGAGGCUCAGGGCAAGGGGGAAUAGACCCCACCUCUUGGUAAAGAGAGCAGCAAAUUCACACCGAGAAGAGCAUGAGGGAUGGGAAGGAGUAAUGAGGUGAUCUUAGGAGACAAUCUACUAUGGGUGGUGAAACUCUAGUCACUUUUGAAUGUUCAACCAGCCUUGGAAGUUAUUGCUGUGCCCUUUUGUCUCUGAGCCCUAAACUUAGAGAAACUGAGCCCAGACAUGUUGUCUUUCUCCCAGCAAUCCCACUGUCCACAGUUUUGUUGUCACAUAUGCUAUAGACACUAGGAUAAGCCAACAUGCUAGCAACGUGAUGCCAUGGAGUGGCGCAGGUCCUCACUGAUCAUCAGGCUUCCACACUCAUCUGUCUGGUGUCCCUGAAAGAGGCAACUAAUUAAAACCAAAUUCACAUUGCUGAAGCCAAACAAUAUGGAGCAGAAGUCAGUCUCUUAAUAUCUUCCAGAAGAACUCUAGGGAGCUUUCUUGCUGCACACUGAAUAUUGAGGUAUUGUUUUAUCACCUUGGGUUGGAUAAAUACAUGUUAUUUUUUUUUUUAAAUCUUAACAAUUAUUAUUAGUUUCCAUUAGGCAGCUAAACCGUUUAUUUUGGCCCGGCUAUCAUUUCCCAGUAUCACUCCCUCUCAUUGCCAAUGAAUGACCCUGGGAGAUCUUCCAUGGCUGCCUACCAACAAAUUAGCUGAGGCCAGAAGUUACUGCUCUCCUAGAAGGAGGGGGUGAUAUUGCACCUGCAAUCAACUUUGCAUAGGACAAGGGACACUCUGAGAUUUGAGGUACCAGAAUUGAAGACUUGUGCAUCAACUAAUUCCUUUGCCUGUGAGUCCCAGCCAGCAUCAAGUAAUGUCUUUAGGUGUUUUCCAGCCCUUGCCAGAUAGGAAUACUGCUCUGUUCUUACAGCUAAGAUAAUCAGCUGUUUCUCCCAAACCAAGAUUGCUAUGGAAAACAGGAUACAUUGGUAUGUGCAAAUUUGUAGCAACAUUUUGACUUCUUUAGGGCUGUUUAUUUUCAUGACCAAGCAUACACACACACACACACACACAUAUGUUUAGACAAAGAAAGAUCUUAACCCCUGGGCUAAGGAGUGAGAAUAUGUGACCUCCUGGGUAAGUGUAGAGCAUUAUCCCCUAGCAAGAGUAAUUUCAUUUAAAAAUAUUAUUUAUUUAUUCAUGAGACACACACACACAGAGAGAGAGAGAGAGAGAGAGAGAGGCAGAGACACAGGCAGAGGGAGAAGCAGGCUCCAUGCAGGGAGCCUGACACAGGACUCGAUCCCCGGUCUCCAGGAUCAUGCCCUAGGCUGAAGGCAGCGCUAAACCACUGAGCCACCCAGGCUGCCCAGCAAAAGUAAUUUCAAAGAAGUCAUGCAACUAAAGCAGAGCAGGUUAGUAUUGCCACUGGAAAAAACAAGCUCUGCCUUACUGUGUGGUUGCUGGUUGGUCAUUUCCCAAUCUUAUGGAGAAGGUUCCACGUUUUCAGUAGGAGACAGCAUGGACAAUAUACAAAAAGGAAGAGACAUCAGAGAUGAGGGAUGGCAGAGAAAGAGUUGGUAUCAGAACUGAGGGCCCAGUUGCUGUCCUGUAGAUCCGGAGUCUUGUAGGUCUUUCAGAUCUAUGAGCCAUUUAGCAUCUUGCUACAAAAACCAAUACCUUCCUUUUGUGCUUGUUAAUCCAAUUUUCCCAAGCUUUGCCAAACUUUCACCAUAUAGAAUUGCUAUGUUUCAAAGAACACAGUUAACUCCUGGGUUUUUAUUUCCACUCCAUAAGGAAGCACACAGAAUGGCUGCAUAAUACUGUGAUUACCUUUUGUAAUAUUGCCAUAGAGAAAUAUAAAGAUUGUGUAGGCUAAGUAGAUUAUUAACUCAUCCAUAUAAAGUUGAAGUGAUUAUAAAUAA